AUUGAACGCUGGCGGCAUGCCUUACACAUGCAAGUCGAACGGCAGCACGGACUUCGGUCUGGUGGCGAGUGGCGAACGGGUGAGUAAUAUAUCGGAACAUACCUUGUAGUGGGGGAUAACUAUCCGAAAGGAUAGCUAAUACCGCAUACGCUCUAAGGAGGAAAGUGGGGGAUCGCAAGACCUCAUGCUGUAAGAGUGGCCGAUAUCUGAUUAGCUAGUUGGUGAGGUAAAGGCUCACCAAGGCGACGAUCAGUAGCUGGUCUGAGAGGACGACAAGCCACACUGGAACUGAGAGACGGUCCAGACUCCUACGGGAGGCAGCAGUGGGGAAUUUUGGACAAUGGGGGCAACCCUGAUCCAGCAAUGCCGCGUGAGUGAAGAAGGCCUUCGGGUUGUAAAGCGCUUUUGUCAGGGAAGAAACGGUUGUGGCUAAUAUCCAUGGCUAAUGACGGUACCUGAAGAAUAAGCACCGGCUAACUACGUGCCAGCAGCCGCGGUAA
rnacentral:rRNA from 1 species